rnacentral:rRNA from 1 species
GACGGACCGUGCGAACGUUGUCCGGAUUUAUUGGGCGUAAAGAGCUCGUAGGCGGCUCGUCGCGUCGACCGUGAAAACCCGCGGCUUAACUGCGGGCUUGCGGUUGAUACGGGCGGGCUAGAGUUCGGUAGGGGAGACUGGAAUUCCUGGUGUAGCGGUGAAAUGCGCAGAUAUCAGGAGGAACACCGGUGGCGAAGGCGGGUCUCUGGGCCGAUACUGACGCUGAGGAGCGAAAGCGUGGGGAGCGAACAGG